CAACUUUCAGCAACGGAUCUCUUGGCUCUCGCAUCGAUGAAGAACGCAGCGAAAUGCGAUAAGUAAUGUGAAUUGCAGAAUUCAGUGAAUCAUCGAAUCUUUGAAUGCACCUUGCGCUCCUUGGUAUUCCGAGGAGCAUGCCUGUUUGAGUGUCAUGUA
rnacentral:rRNA from 1 species